rnacentral:lncRNA from 1 species
GGAGAACCUCCUUGUUGAUCCCAGAUGAAACGGCUAGUUGGCGGAAGUCGCGAAGGGCGCGCCUCCCGUUCCUUCGGCAGGGGUCUCUCAACCAUGCGCCGGAGAGGAGGCCCACGAUCCAUGGCAACCUGAACAGCUCCGGCUUGGCAGGCUCCGUCGCACCUGCACCUAUAUUUAUAGCCAAACUGCGGCCCUCCGGUCGUUCCGAUAUGGGUGGCUCCAAUAAAUGCGGGCGCAUUGAAUCCGGAGCCGAUCCGGCUCUCAAGGCGUAUCUUCCCGCGAUUUUCUAAGCGUCAUUCUCCUUAAUCGCAUUUUUUGUGCAGGACACUCCGGGUGGCCUGUACCCCUAGGUCCACGUAUCUCCGCUCGCGCCCCAGGCCGCAUCCGCCUCGAAGAACGCGCGUAUCGCGGCCGCUUAACUGAAACUCCUUGCAAGCAGCAACUGGCGAUCCGAUUUCCCAGGUAACCCCUUAAUUAGCACUUAAUGCCCAUCUGGUGUUCCCCAGGCGACGCUUGGAGAGGAGGAGAAAUACAAUCGCAGCUGGCCAUGGAGAAAUCCCGUCGGGCGGCAAGCGACAGGCGCACGACCAGCGAGCGGAAUUUCCCGAGGCUCGGC